UGAAACAUUGUGAGCAGAUAAUUGUCGAAUUUAUCACAGUUCGAUGUUUCCAACACUCGCAGCGAAUGUUCCUCGCCGCGUUCCUUAUUCUUUGGUUUCUUCUUAAUUUCACGAACUGCGCAGCAAAUUCGACAGCAGCUGGCAGCCACCACCGAAUCCCGAAGUAAUUAGGCGAAUCAGCGUCAACGUGCUUACAUAAUCGCUGUAGAUUCGAGUCGUAAAACGUUGCGAGACGACACCCUCUGGCCACCUCAAACGACCAAUACACGAACACGCAAACGACAAACUCAAUUGCACCGAAUUGCUUCGCAACGAGAGGAGGAGGCAGGCGUUAUAAAUAAAUUUGAGGCAGCUCGGUGCGUCUCGUAGAAAAAUCUCGACCGUCUAUUCACGAAAGAGGCACAGAGUUUCUAGCGUUUUUCGCGUGGUUCCUCGUGCUCGACCCUGAUUAUUUAUAGGUGGUAGAAUUUGCAUCGAGAAAGCCAAGUUAUGGUAUCAUCAUAUGCUAUGACGAUGAGCGAACGUCCGACGAAGUGAUAAUCAGAAAAUUGUUUCUAUGGUCCGGGAACAACAAACGAUUUAACGCGAUAAUUGAACGGAUUUUAUAAUAAUUUACAAAAAUGCAAAUAAACCGGAUAACAUUAGAACGUUUUGAUAUCGAGAUGGAUAGCAACGAUCGAUGAAGGUUUAUCGAAAUAGCGAACCAAAGAAGUAACAGCGAAAUUAACGAAAUACCAGGGAUAUGGUUUAUUUUUCAUAAGAGAAAUUCGAGCAACCUCGGACGAUAAAAAGGGGAAGUUAUGCCAGCCAUCUGGAGAAGGUCGAGUGCUGGCGCCUAACCAAGGUCACGGAUAGAGGAAUUUACGACCUUUCGGGUGUUCGACGAACCCUCUUUUGUGCCUCCGCUUGAAAUACCUUUCACAGAUUUCACCUGCCUACUAUUAUAUAAAAUGUUCCAUUGUUGAUUGUAAACAAAAGUUAGUAGGUGCAACUUAAUGAAUAGAAAGUCUCAUUCAUGGCUCGAUUUAAAGAAAACAUUUUGGCUUUGUGUGGCUCGUUAAGCGUUUCGCUCUGCUAUUAUUAUUUUGUUCGCAGCAGAUACAAGUUUACGCGCUUACGUUUAUGUAAACAAAUAAUUCAUCGUUCGAAGGAUUUAUUUAUAAAGCGGUAGAUUUUAUUUUAUUUAUCGAAGGAACAUCCGCCGGUGAAGUAAAUUGUUCUUUUUUCCCUUUUCUUUUUUUUUUUUUUUUUUUUUUUGAGAUAGAAAUAUUGAUUUAUUUAUAAAGUAGCAGGUUUUAAUCUAUUCGUCGAAGAAAUAAUUCGUCCCGAUGGAAGAUAUCAGUCUUUUAACAUUUAAUACAUCUCGAUUUAAUAUAUCGAUUUCUAAAGUACAUAACGCACUUUGUUCUAUUGAAAAUGUAUUUUAUUCCUAUCCAAAUGCAUAGUUUAUUCGACAUUUAUAUAAACUAAUGAAAUUUCACUUGGUUCAAUAUAUAACAUGUAUCUUCUUCAAAUUUACGAAAUAAUUUCUUUCGUAAACAAUUUCGCCAAUCCACGAAUUACUCGAAAAUGAAACAUUCCAAGUUACGUAUUUCCUCUUACUAUGCAUUUCUGUAUCUUUGCCCGGUAAACAUCAACGAGAUAUACAUAUAACGUUCGAUUCUUGGAUAAUUCAGGGAUCGAUUCUUAAGUCUGAAAAUCGAGUGUAUUGUAACAAUACUUAAAUAAAAUACAGAGGUAAACAACAAUAAAUGAUAAUCAAUAACAGUAAAUAAUAAUGAACAGCAAAGCUUUGUACAAGGUCUACCUGAAGAUCGACUCCUCCUCUGUCAAUCUUCAAUACUCUAAAUAAUAAUUUCUUUCUUAUGAUCGUGUCUAUUUCCAACGCUCGAAAUCCUUCUUCUUGUCUAACAGUCCGUCUGUGAAAUGACUGUUUGGCAAAUCGGUUGUCCGUAACGACGAAUAACGUCACAUUGUUCGUUAAACAGAGAAGGUUCUUUUGUUUAUCCGCGUUUGAACUCUUAGGGAAUUUGCAUACGUUAUACGCUUUUGUCUCUCCUUAUUUGUAUAAAACAAUACUGUUGAGGUUAUUCAGUAUAUAAAGAGAGAAAAACGCGCGGAUAAAGUGUAAGAUACAACAUAUAUUUGAUUUAAUAGUGAAAUACAGGAAUACAAUUUGAGCUGGUCCAGAUCCGCACGCUAGCAGUGUUACCUUAUAACUGAAAACCCCGAAACCAACGUCGCCUGUCUACCGUUUAUGGUCUGCCUCCCUGCUAUUCUUUUGUCUAUAUGCUGUCGAUGGCUUCAGCAUUUGAGAAAACUAAAAAGACCAGAUGUGGAGUUUUCCUAGAAGUGGUGACCACUUCAACAAAUACAUUAUAAAAUAGCCUACCUACUAAAAA